AACAGCACACUGCCGUCUACGUAGCCCCUGAUGCUAACAUUAGCACAAGUUUGGCUCACUGCUAACCAUAGUGAACAAACUGCAGCGCGAUCACCUGGAG